ACGAAAGGGCACUCUAAUGAGACUGCCGGUGACAAACCGGAGGAAGGUGGGGAUGACGUCAGGUCCUCAUGGCCCUUAUGGGUAGGGCUACACACGUCAUACAAUGGCCGGUACAGAGGGCUGCCAACCCGCGAGGGGGAGCCAAUCCCAGAAAACCGGUCGUAGUCCGGAUCGCAGUCUGCAACUCGACUGCGUGAAGUCGGAAUCGCUAGUAAUCGCGGAUCAGCUUGCCGCGGUGAAUACGUUCCCGGGUCUU
rnacentral:rRNA from 1 species